rnacentral:miRNA from 1 species
CAACCCAAUGUCACGGACUG